rnacentral:rRNA from 1 species
UACGGAGGGUGCAAGCGUUAAUCGGAAUUACUGGGCGUAAAGCGCACGCAGGCGGUUUUUUAAGUUAGAUGUGAAAUCCCCGGGCUCAACCUGGGAAUAGCAUUUCAAACUGGGAGGCUAGAGUCCUUUAGGGAGGGGUAGAAUUCCACGUGUAGCGGUGAAAUGCGUAGAGAUCUGGAGGAAUACCGAAGGCGAAGGCGGCCCCUUGGACAUAUACUGACGCUCAUGUGCGAAAGCGUGGGGAGCAAACAGG